CCUACGGGAGGCAGCAGUAGGGAAUAUUGCUCAAUGGGGGAAACCCUGAAGCAGCAACGCCGCGUGGAGGAUGAAGGUUUUCGGAUUGUCAAAUCCUUUUGUUAGAGAAGAUAAUGACGGUAUCUAACAAAUAAGCACCGGCUAACACCGUGACAGCAGCCGCGGUAAUACGGCGGGUGCAGGCGUUACUCGGAAUCACUGGGCGUAAAGAGGGCGGAGGCGGGAUAGCAAGUCAGAUGUGAAAUCCUAUGGCUUAACCAGAGAAUUGCAUUUGAAACUGUUAUUCUAGAGUAUGGGAGAGGUAGGUGGAAUGCGUGGUGUAGGGGUAAAAUCCGUAGAGAUCAAGAGGAAUACUCAUUGCGAAGGCGACCUGCUAGAACAUAACUGACGCUGAUGCGCGAAAGCGUGGGGAGCAAACAGGAUUAGAUACCCGAGUAGUC
rnacentral:rRNA from 1 species